rnacentral:misc_RNA from 1 species
GAAAGCGCGAAACGUAAUGUGAAUUGCAGAAUUCAGUGAAUCAUCGAAUCUUUGAACGCAUCUUGCGCUCCUUGGUAUUCCGAGGAGCAUGCCUGUUUGAGUGUCGUGAAUACUCUCAAACUCUUAGUUUUUUUAUAAGGACUUUGAGUUUGGAUUUGGAUGUUGCAGUGACUUUGGUCAUGGCUCAUCUCGAAAUGUAUUAGCUGGUCCACCUCGGUCGUAACAAACGGUGUGAUAAGAAACAUUCAUUUGUGACUGUAGCGCUGCUGUUACUGACUGGAUAAAGACUGCUUCUAAUGGUCUGCUUGCAGACAAACUUCACUAUGUCAUCUGACCUCAAAUCAGGUAGGACUACCCGCUGAACUUAA